CUGGAUCAAUGGUAGGUGUAGUGGGGGUAGUAGGUGUAGGAGAAGGAUAGUAACUACCCCCUGGAGUGCUUGGAGUUCCGGGGUCAAUGGUAGGUGUAGGUGGUGUUUCAAUGGUAGGUGUAGUGGGGGUAGUAGGUGUAGGGGAAGGAUAGUAGCCACCCCCUGGAGUACUUGGAGUGCCAGGGUCGACUGUAGGAGUAGGUGGUGUUUCAAUGGUAGGGGUGGAAGGGGUAGUAGGUGUGGGGGAAGGAUUGUAACCACCCCCUGGAGUGCUUGGAGUGCCAGGGUCAGCGGUAGGAGUAGGUGGUGUUUCAAUGGUAGGUGUGGAGGGGGUGGUUGGUGUAGAAGGGGUAGUAGGUGUGGGGGAAGGAUAGUAACCACCCCCUGGAGUACUUGGAGUGCCAGGGUCAGCGGUAGGUUUCAAUGGUAGGUGGUGUUUCAAUGGUAGGUGUGGAGGGGGUGGUUGGUGCACUGGGGGUACUAGGUGUGGGGGAAGGAUUGUAACCACCACCUGGAGUGCUUGGAGUGCCAGGGUCAACAGUAGGAGUAGGUGGUGUUUCAAUGGUAGGUGUGGGAGGGGUGGAU